rnacentral:misc_RNA from 1 species
AUGAAUAUCUAUGGCGUUGGUUGUAGCUGGCUUCUAGGAGCAUGUGCACACCCGUCAUUUUUAUCUUUCCACCUGUGCACUUAAUGUAGGUCUGGAUAACUCUCGCUUUCACAAGCGGAUGCAAGGAUUGCUGUGUCGCAAGGCCAGCUCUCUUUGAAUUUCCAGAUCUAUGUACCCUUACACACCCCAAAUGUAUGAUGAAGAAUGUAGUCAAUGGGCUCUAAGCCUAUAAAACAAAAUA